rnacentral:rRNA from 1 species
UACGGAGGGUGCAAGCGUUAUCCGGAUUCACUGGGUUUAAAGGGUGCGUAGGUGGUGAGGUAAGUCGGAUGUGAAAUCUCCGGGCUCAACCCGGAAACUGCAUUGGAAACUACCUUGCUUGAGGAUUUGAGGGGGGAUUGGAAUACUUGGUGUAGCAGUGAAAUGCGUAGAUAUCAAGUGGAACACCAGUGGCGAAGGCGAAUCCCUGGAAAAUACCUGACACUGAGGCACGAAAGCUAGGGGAGCAAACAGG